rnacentral:rRNA from 1 species
CUUGGUCAUUUAGUGGAAGUAAAAGUCGUAACAAGGUUUCCGUAGGUGAACCUGCGGAAGGAUCAUUAUUGAAUUUGGGUUUCCAUAUUCUUACACCUGUGCACUUUUUGUAGGCCAUUUACUUGGUCUAUGUCUUUUUAAUAACAUGUCUUUGUAAAUGUGAAUGGAAAUGGGAUAAAUAAUACAACUUUCAACAACGGAUCUCUUGGCUCUCGCAUCGAUGAAGAACGCAGCGAAAUGCGAUAAGUAAUGUGAAUUGCAGAAUUCAGUGAAUCAUCAAAUCUUUGAACGCACCUUGCGCUCCUUGGUAUUCCGAGGAGCAUGCCUGUUUGAGUGUCAUUAGAUUCUCAAAGAGUCUUUCUUAGACUUUUUUGGACUUGGAGUGUUUGCUGGCUUCAUCAAAGUCAGCUCCUCUUAAAUGCAUUAGCUUGUGCUCUGUGGAUUAGGCUUUGGUUUGAUAGUAUCUAUGCCAUUGCUUUUGAAACAAACAGUCAGAAGCUUCUAACAACAACAACAACAACCUCUUGACAUUUUGACCUCAAAUCAGGUAGGACUACCCGCUGAACUUAA